GCAAGCAGGAGCAGGGCCUGACCAGCCCUUCAGCACAGGCUCCAGAGAGCUUGACAUCACAUCCAGGAGCAAGCCUGGGGAUACUGCAGACCUGCCCACCAACAAGUACCUUAUCAAAGCUUCGUGCAGGUGCUCUGAGCUCAGAGUCCAGCAGGCAGGGACCAUAGAGACUGUAGAAGCUUCAUCAUUGAAGGUCUUAAAGGCAAAUUAAACAAAUAUAAUUAAACACUAGCCUAUCCUGGGACAGAACAGUGCAUCACUGAGGUCACUCCCGACAUUCCCUUCCUCUGGCGCUAUGAUGAGGGCAGAAAGGACACAUGUCACAGGUGUAUAUAGUCACAGAGCUUCUUGGAACUGGAUGUUUCUUAAAGUGCUGGUGUGAAAGCAAACACUGCCAAAAUGAAGAGAACAGCAGACACCAUCUCCAUUCCAUGUGUCUACAGAACAGAAAGGGAACUGAUGAUAAGAAAGAAAUCAACUUUAGCUGUUGUUGUUUAAUAUGACCACCAGGAAUGUACCCCCAGACAUGAUAACAAGAGCAUCUGUCAUUGAACUGUGCGAGCUCUAUUUGCCUCCUGGCACAUUUCAGAUAUAAACAGCGAGGGCCUCAGCUGAUCUCUUAGGAGUUUGCGCAGCUAACAGCAGCAGCAGAGCUUGAAAAUAAUGCAUCCUCCCUAUGCCAUGGCCUCUCUGAAGAAUAUCCCUCUCCUCCCCAAAAAAUUAAAAAAGGAAGGGUGGAUCAGCAAAGGAGGAGAAUACAGAUGCAUACGCAGACACCUGGAUAGGUUUAAAGGCAGGGCCAUCAGUUAAAGCUCCAGAUCAUUUCCUGUGCUGUCCCACCCACAGGUUCGAUGGAACAUGGCAAAGUAACUACUGAAGCUAUGUGUGGUGGAAAUGGUCAUGCAACAAAGGAAGUGGCAGCAACAGCAAAAAAUAUACUUUCCAAGCAAAACUCUCUGAGCCAUGCUUGUAUGUUGGAAACGCAAUCUGGGGACAGGAGGUUAGAUAAAAACACACUUGUUUGAGAACAGCAGCCCUCUGUUCCUCAGGGCUUGCUCCUGGCCUUGCUCAAGCCACAGUCUGCUCAGGCAGCUGCUGGCAGCUGCAGCCACCAGCUGUAUCCAAGGGGAUCCCAAGGACAGACCCAGUUCAGCAGCCGUGAAAAUAGUACCCUGAAGACAUGAAGCAAUUGUUGACCUGCAUGCCAUCAAGCCCCAGUACUGAAUAAAGAGAAGAAUAAUCUCUUUUUAUUCACUUUAUCUAUCCUGUUCUCCUUAUUAGAUCUCUUUCCUUGUGAUUAAUUCUCAACCUGGUAUUUUUAAUAACUGUAUAUUUCAUUUGCAUUUGAUACUUAAAGAGGGAGGGAGGAUAAAAGGAUGAAACUCCUAGAAUUAAUGCACACCAACCCCUAACCUUAAACAUUGGUAUUACCCUUCUGUAAGACUAUCCUCUGUCAAGUAACAAUACGCAGGAAAUAAAUACUAGUCUCUUAACAGCUGUCCUGGAGACUACAUCCCUAUUAUGACUCUUCUUGAACAGAGUAAACUAAAUAAAGUUGAAUGAAGUUAUCAGACAUGAUCUCAUAUUCAAAGAGCCAAUGUCACUAAAAUAACAUUCUAAAUUCCACAGUCUAAUGUAAUUAUUAAAGUGGAAUGUGGUCUGUUUAGUACUGUAUUGAUUUAAGCAGCUCUCUCUCGAUUUGUAGCAGCCGUGCCACUGCUGGCAUUGAGUUAGCCCUGCUGGUAUACUUACAUCUUGGACAAUAUUUGCAAUAUAACAUCUUGAACAAUAUUCACAAUAUAGCAGUGAAUAAUGUCAAUGGCCAAAAUUUAUUAUAUAGAGUUCAAGAUUUUCAGCAAAGUAUUUAAACCUAAUGUUAAAAGUGGAAGGCUUGUGCUUACGGGAAUAAAAGAUGAGAAAUAACAAGAAGGUAUAAAGCAUCAGACACUUCCUUUGCCUGUCUGGAAAAAGCAGUAAAAGUGACUUCUCAUCUUC